rnacentral:rRNA from 1 species
UACGGAGGGGGCUAGCGUUGUUCGGAAUUACUGGGCGUAAAGCGCGCGUAGGCGGCUUUGUAAGUUAGAGGUGAAAGCCCGGGGCUCAACCCCGGAACUGCCUUUAAGACUGCAUCGCUUGAAUCCAGGAGAGGUGAGUGGAAUUCCGAGUGUAGAGGUGAAAUUCGUAGAUAUUAGGAAGAACACCAGUGGCGAAGGCGGCUCACUGGCCCGGAACUGACGCUGAGGUACGAAAGCGUGGGGAGCAAACAGG